rnacentral:rRNA from 1 species
AACGGCUCAGUAACACGUAGAUAAUUUGCCCUUAGGUGGAGGAUACCCUCGGGAAACUGAGAAUAAUACUCCAUAGAUUUAGAAUGCUGGAAUGCUUUUAAAUUGAAAGAUUUAUCGCCUUAGGAUGAGUCUGCGGACUAUCAGGUUGUAGUCAGGGUAAAGACCUGAUUAGCCUACGACGGAUACGGGUUGUGAGAGCAAUAACCCGGAGAUGAUAUCUGAGACACGAUAUCAGGCCCUACGGGGCGCAGCAGGCGCGAAAACUUCGCACUGCGCGAAAGCGCGACGAGGGGAUCCCAAGUGUAUGCACGUAAGUGUAUACUGUUUCUCUGUCUAAAAAGCAGAGAGAGUAAGAGCUGGGUAAGACGGGUGCCAGCCGCCGCGGUAAUACCUGCAGCUCAAGUGGUGAUCGUUAUUAUUGGGCCUAAAACGUCCGUAGCCGGUCUUGUAAAUGCCUGGGUAAAUCGUAUGGCUUAACCAUACGAAUUCUGGGUAGACUGUUAGACUUGAGACCGGGAGAGGCUAGAGGUACUCCUGGGGUAGAGGUGAAAUCCUGUAAUCCUGGGGGGACCACCAGUGGCGAAGGCGUCUAACUAGGACGGGUCUGACGGUGAGGGACGAAGCCCUGGGGCGCAACCGGAUUAAAUACCCGGGUAGUCCAGGGUGUAACGCUGCUGCUUGAUGUUAGCUGGGCUCC